rnacentral:rRNA from 1 species
CCAUACGACCGUACCGCAAACCGACACUGGUGCGCGAGAUGAGUAUUCUAAGGCGCUUGAGAGAACUCAGGAGAAGGAACUCGGCAAAUUGACACCGUAACUUCGGAAGAAGGUGUGCCCUAUUAGUGUGUAGUGAACAACGAAGCAUGAAUGGGUUGCAAAAAAUCGGUGGCUGCGACUGUUUAUUAAAAACACAGCACUCUGCAAACACGAAAGUGGACGUAUAGGGUGUGACGCCUGCCCGGUGCUGGAAGAUUAAAUGAUGGGGUGCAAGCUCUUGAUUGAAGUCCCAGUAAACGGCGGCCGUAACUAUAACGGUCCUAAGGUAGCGAAAUCCCUUGUCGGGUAAGUUCCGACCUGCACGAAUGGCGUAACGAUGGCCACACUGUCUCCUCCUGAGACUCAGCGAAGUUGAAAUGUUUGUGAUGAUGCAAUCUCCCCGCGGAAAGACGGAAAGACCCCAUGAACCUUUACUGUAGCUUUGUAUUGGACUUUGAACAGAUCUGUGUAGGAUAGGUGGGAGGCUUUGAAGCAGGGUCGCUAGAUCUUGUGGAGCCAACGUUGAAAUACCACCCUGGUGUGUUUGAGGUUCUAACCUAGGUCCAUUAUCUGGAUCGGGGACAGUGCAUGGUAGGCAGUUUGACUGGGGCGGUCUCCUCCCAAAGCGUAACGGAGGAGUUCGAAGGUACGCUAGUUACGGUCGGACAUCGUGACGAUAGUGCAAUGGCAUAAGCGUGCUUAACUGCGAGACUGACAAGUCGAGCAGAUGCGAAAGCAGGACAUAGUGAUCCGGUGGUUCUGUAUGGAAGGGCCAUCGCUCAACGGAUAAAGGGUACUCUGGGGAUAACAGGCUGAUACCGCCCAAGAGUUCAUAUCGACGGCGGUGUUUGGCACCUCGAUGUCGGCUCAUCUCAUCCUGGGGCUGUAGCCGGUCCCAAGGGUAUGGCUGUUCGCCAUUUAAAGAGGUACGUGAGCUGGGUUUAAAACGUCGUGAGACAGUUUGGUCCCUAUCUUCCGUGGGCGCUGCAGAUUUGAGGAAGCCUGCUCCUAGUACGAGAGGACCGGAGUGGACACACCUCUGGUGUAUCGGUUGUCACGCCAGUGGCAUUGCCGAGUAGCUAAGUGUGGAAGAGAUAACCGCUGAAAGCAUCUAAGCGGGAAACUCGUUUCAAGAUGAGAUCUGCCGGGGCCUUGAGCCCCCUAAAGAGUCGUUCAAGACCAGGACGUUGAUAGGUCAGGUGUGGAAGC